GAUGAACGCUGGCGGCGUGCCUAAUACAUGCAAGUCGAGCGAACAGACGAGGAGCUUGCUCCUCUGACGUUAGCGGCGGACGGGUGAGUAACACGUGGAUAACCUACCUAUAAGACUGGGAUAACUUCGGGAAACCGGAGCUAAUACCGGAUAAUAUAUUGAACCGCAUGGUUCAAUAGUGAAAGACGGUUUUGCUGUCACUUAUAGAUGGAUCCGCGCCGCAUUAGCUAGUUGGUAAGGUAACGGCUUACCAAGGCAACGAUGCGUAGCCGACCUGAGAGGGGGAUAGGCCACACUGGAACGGAGACAGGGUCCAGACUCCUACGGGAGGCAGCAGUAGGGAAUCUUCCGCAAUGGGCGAAAGCCUGACGGAGCAACGCCGCGUGAGUGAUGAAGGUCUUCGGAUCGUAAAACUCUGUUAUUAGGGAAGAACAAAUGUGUAAGUAACUAUGCACGUCUUGACGGUACCUAAUCAGAAAGCCACGGCUAACUACGUG
rnacentral:rRNA from 1 species